rnacentral:rRNA from 1 species
GACGAACGCUGGCGGCGUGCUUAACACAUGCAAGUCGAACGGUAAGGCCCUUCUUUUGUUGUGUGCUCGAGUGUCGAUCGUGUGAGUAACACGUGAGUAACCUGCCCUUGACUUUGGGAUAACUUCAUGAAACUGGGGCUAAUACCGGAUAGGAGCUCCUGCUGCAUGGUUGGUGUUGGAAAUUUUCGGCGUUUGGGGAUUGACUCUCGGAGUAUCAGCUUGUUGGUGGGGUAGUGGCUUACCAAGGCUUUGAUGGGUAGCAGGACUGAGAGGGUGAAAGGAAAGAUAGGGACUGAGAGACGGCCAAGACGCCUAAGGGAGGCAGUAGGGGGGCGCGUUGAGGAAUGGGCAGACGGCGGAUGAAGAAUGGAAGGGUACAGGAUGACGGUGUUGGGUGUGUAAACGGCUUUCGCAUGUGAAGGAGCGUGGGUGACGGUAAAGGGUAAAGAAGCGCCGGCUAAAUACGUG